GUCAGUGUGGCCGAGUGGUUAAGGCGAUAGCCUAGAAAGCUAUUGGGUUCGCCCGCACAGGUUCGAGUCCUGUCGCUGACG
rnacentral:tRNA from 1 species